GGCCGUGUGGCGAAAUGGCAUCGCGUCUGACUACGAUGAGUUCCAAAUCAGGAGAUUGCAGGUUCGACCCCUGUCUCGGUCA